GGCAGUCAGCAGCAAGGCGACAGAGGGGCUUAAUUCGCCCAUAAGGCAGUUCAGCCUCUUAUGCAAUUUAACCGGGACGUGCUUGACUUGAGCUCCGGUCUGCACCCCAGCACAGCCUGCUGCACAGAAUCAAUCGCACAUGUAUGCAAAGAAUUACUCUGCAGACUUGUUUACUCUGUGUUUUAUUAUUUCCAGUACUGCUGUAAGAGCACUUUUAUAACAUUGUAACAGUAUUCUCUUUGUGUCCAGAAGACCCAAUUUGCCUGAGCAACACAGCGGGGGAAAUGGCACACGGCUGCACAAGAUAAACAGACAGCGAAAUGCAUUAGAAGAUGCAUCAUACAUUUCUCCUGAAACAGAAGCAAUAAUGGAUUCAAU